UACGAAGGGGGCUAGCGUUGUUCGGAUUUACUGGGCGUAAAGCGCACGUAGGCGGAUUUUUAAGUCAGGGGUGAAAUCCCGGGGCUCAACCCCGGAACUGCCUUUGAUACUGGAAGUCUUGAGUAUGGUAGAGGUGAGUGGAAUUCCGAGUGUAGAGGUGAAAUUCGUAAGAUAUUCGGAGGAACACCAGUGGCGAAGGCGGCUCACUGGACCAUUACUGACGCUGAGGUGCGAAAGCGUGGGGAGCAAACAGG
rnacentral:rRNA from 1 species